rnacentral:rRNA from 1 species
GACAGAGGGUGCAAACGUUGUUCGGAAUUACUGGGCGUAAAGCGUGCGCAGGCGGUUAUAUAAGACAGUUGUGAAAUCCCCGGGCUCAACCUGGGAACUGCAUCUGUGACUGUAUAGCUAGAGUACGGUAGAGGGGGAUGGAAUUCCGCGUGUAGCAGUGAAAUGCGUAGAUAUGCGGAGGAACACCGAUGGCGAAGGCAAUCCCCUGGACCUGUACUGACGCUCAUGCACGAAAGCGUGGGGAG